UCUAAUAUGACAGAUUAAUGUAAUAGGUUUAAGCUCUAUUUAUAAAGUACUUUACUUUUAUUAGAA
rnacentral:tRNA from 1 species